AAAAUUUCUUAUGAAUCUUAAAUUAUGUAAUAAAUAGUUUAGAAGAGAUAAAAGAAAUUUGUUUUUAGUAUUAUUUAGUAUUUUAGUAUUAUGAUGCGGUUAAUGAAGCAGCUAAAAAGUCCUUCCAGUCAGUUGCAACAACAAUUAAAGCAGCAGGAAUCAGCCAAGUACACAUGGAAGUGAUUGUUAUGAGGAUUGCAAAAGUUUUAAAAAUCAGAAACUGAAGAAGGCAUUGAUAAUAAGCAGAUAAUAAAAAAAGCAAAAGUACUGAUUAUACAAAUCUUUUAAAGGUUAGCUAAUUUGAUGUUACAAUAAACAUGAAAUAAAGUUUGUAAAGACCUUAGUGCUAGAAAUACUUGCAUGCGUAAAGUUAAGAUUAUGCAAGUAAGUUGCCCUACUUUUAUCUUUGAAGACUAAUAAUAAUUGUAAUGAACAUAUCUCAAACAAUAUACACUCGGAUUUACAUUUUAGUUAAACGAUCACUAUUUCCACAGCCACUUUGCCUCAAGCAUUCAAUUGCAUUCUAAGGUAUCUUUAUUCAAAUCCAGUGUGACUACUAUAGACCGUAAAAUGGACCAAUAAACUCGAAAAUUGAAUUCUAAAAUACCAUUAUUCACAUAACUACUAUAUCAAAGUCUAAACUAAUGGAUUGAUCAAGAAGGGCACUGCAGCUUUCCUGCAGUUAUGCAACUUAUCAACCCAUAACUGCAAUAACUACAAGUUUUUUUAAUAAGAGAAAAGAUUGUAUGACUUCGGUAUCCGCAAUAUGGUAUCGUGCAUUGGUUCUUAUCUUAGAAUGGCUUCCUUCCGUAUAGGUGGAAAUAGGAAAGGUUAUGUCCUUUUUUCUAAAUCUUAAGACAAAGAGGCUUAAUCAAAGCAAAGAUGACAAUGAUCAUUAUGGAGCCGAUCAUGAUGACGAAUACGAUAAUGCAUAUAAUAAUAAAUAAAAUGAUUUUACUUGUAUAUUUAUA